rnacentral:lncRNA from 1 species
AUCUCUGAAUCCCAAAACCCAAACCCCCAAAAUCUCAGAAUCCCAGAAUCAGAGAAUCCCAAAAUGUCUGAAUCCCAGAAUCUCAGAACCCCAGAACCCCAAAACCCCAGAAUUAUAGAAUCCUAGAAUCUCUGAAUCUCUGAAUCUCUGAAUCCCAGAGUCCCAGAAUGUCAGAAUCACCAAAUCCCAGAAUCUCUAAAUCCCAGAUUCCCAAAAUCCCACAAUCCCAGAGUUCGGAGGUGCUCCAUCAGGGUGUGGAGCUGACAGAACCCCUCAUAUCCCGUUUUUUGCAGGGCAGAGCUCCCGCCUGGCCCCGAUCCAGCCCCGAUCCAUCCCCAGGAGCCUCGGGAAGAUCCCGAAUCCCGGAGAUCGCGGCCGGAGCAGCCCCGGAGCUGCCGCGGGCCGGGAUUUCCUGCCCUGGAAUUCCCGCAAUUCCCGAUUUCCCGGGAAAGGCUCCGCUUGCCAAGGCCGGAUGGGGGUUUUUUGGGGAUGGGAAAGGAAAGAAUUGAGGAUUGAAGGAGAUUCCAACACACACA